AUUAGCUAACCCCACUCCACCCCACUACUCCAACCAAACAAAACACUAUUUUACCCGCUAUCCUUUUUAUUCCACCUACUUCAACCAAACACUAUUUUUCUUAAUUCUGAAAUUACUCCAAUUCUCAACCAAAUAUAAAAAAUACUCUAACCCCACCUUAACUCUGAACUUAACCCUAUUCUUGGAAUAACUAAUUUUUUCUUAACCCCGAACCAAACGGUAAUAGGAUUCUUUUUAAUACUGUUGUUAUUUUUUUAUUUUUUUUAAACACUAAUUUUAUAUAUUUUGAUGUGUUGGAGAAGACAUUAUAUAUAAAAUUUUAUAUUUUUACAGUCUGCUGUCCACUCUUAUACUUUAAUUUUGUGUUUGGUUCGGGGAUUAAGGGGUGGGAUAACCCCUUAAUCCCGAGUUUAUUUCCAAACAUGAUUUUAGGGAGGUGGGGUUAGCUAAUCCCAUCCCAAUUAGGGUAAUCCAGGAUAGCCCAUGUGGAGUGGGGUUAGCUAAUUCCAGCUAACCCCACCCCACUACUCCAACCAAAGAAAACAUUAUUUUACUCACUAUCCUUCUUAUCCCAUCUACUCCAACCAAACACUAUUUUCUUUAAUCCUAAACUAACUCCAAUUCUCAACCAAAUAUAAAAAUAAUCUAAUCCCACCUUAACCCUGAACUUAACCAUAUCCCUAGAAUAACUAGUUUUUCCUUAACCCCGAACCAAACGGUAGCUCGUAUAUAAAUAUUAUUUAAAAAUAUAAAAAAUAAACACGACACCAAGCUAGACCUUAAUUUUUAAUUUUAACUAUCAAACACUCUAAAAUUUUAUUAAAUAUUUAAAUAUUUUUUAAAAUAUUAUUAAUACCAUUUUU
rnacentral:lncRNA from 1 species